GACGGAGGAUGCAAGUGUUAUCCGGAAUCACUGGGCGUAAAGCGUCUGUAGGUGGUUUAAUAAGUCAACUGUUAAAUCUUGAGGCUCAACCUCAAAAUCGCAGUCGAAACUAUUAGGCUAGAGUAUAGUAGGGGUAAAGGGAAUUUCCAGUGGAGCGGUGAAAUGCGUAGAGAUGUGGAGGAACACCGAUGGCGAAGGCAGCCCCCUGGGCUAACACUGACGCUCAGGCACGAAAGCGUGGGGAGCAAACAGG
rnacentral:rRNA from 1 species